UGAUUUCAAAUAUCCUGUCCCGU
rnacentral:piRNA from 2 species